rnacentral:rRNA from 1 species
GUAGGGAAUAUUGGUCAAUGGAGGCAACUCUGAACCAGCCAUGCCGCGUGUAGGAAGAAGGCGUUCUGCGUUGUAAACUACUUUUGAUUGGGAACAAAUGACUCUUGCGAGAGUAGCUGAGUGUACCAAUAGAAUAAGCCACGGCUAACUACGUGCCAGCAGCCGCGGUAAUACGUAGGUGGCAAGCGUUGUCCGGAUUUAUUGGGUUUAAAGGGUGCGUAGGCGGCUUAAUAAGUCAGUGGUGAAAGCCGAUCGCUUAACGAUCGAACUGCCAUUGAUACUGCUAGGCUUGAGUAUAGUUGAGGUAGGCGGAAUUGACAGUGUAGCGGUGAAAUGCAUAGAUAUUGUCAAGAACACCAAUUGCGAAGGCAGCUUACUAAAGUAUAACUGACGCUGAGGCACGAAAGUGCGGGGAUCAAACAGGAUUAGAAACCCGGGUAGUCC